UACGGAAGGCAGCAGUGGGGAAUAUUGCACAAUGGGCGAAAGCCUGAUGCAGCUAUGCCGCGUGUAUGAAGAAGGCCUUAGGGUUGUAAAGUACUUUCAUCGGGGAGGAAAAAACAAAACUAAUAAUUUUAUUUCUUGACGUUACCCGAAAAAGAAGCACCGGCUAACUCCGUGCCAGCAGCCGCGGUAAUACGGAGGGUGCUAGCGUUAAUCAGAAUUACUGGGCGUAAAGAGCACGUAGGUGGUUUUUUUAAGUCAGAUGUGAAAUCCCUGGGCUAACCUGGAACUGCAUUUUGAAACUGAAAUACUAGAGUAUCGUAGAGGGAGGUAGAAUUCUAGGUGUAGCGGUGAAAUGCGUAGAUAUCUGGAGGAAUACCUGUGGCGAAAGCGGCCUCCUAAACGAAUACUGACACUGAGGUGCGAAAGCGUGGGGAGCAAACAGGGAUUAGAUACC
rnacentral:rRNA from 1 species